GAUGAACGCUGGCGGCGUGCCUAAUACAUGCAAGUAGAGCGAACAGAUGAUAAGGUUGCUCGUCUGACGUUAACGUCUGACUGGUGAGUGAGAGGGUGAUGAGCUGCCUAUAUGACUGGUAGAGGGGCAGGAAACCUGGGCUAGUUCGCUAUAAUAGAUUAAAACUCAUUGUUCAAUAAUGAAAGACUGAUUGGCGCUCUCUUAUAGAUAGAACAUCGUCGCAUGAGCUAGUUGGUAAGGGAACGGCUUACCAAGGCAACGAUGCGUAACAGACCUGAGAGGGUGAUCGGCCACACUGGAACUGAGACACGGUCCAGCCUCCUACGGGAGGCAGCAGUAGGGAAUCUUCCGCAAUGGCCGAAAGCCUGACGGAGCAACGCCCCGUGAGUGAUGAAGGUCUUCGGAUCGUAAACCUCUGUUAUUAGGGAAGAACAAAUGUGUAAGUAACUAUGCACGUCUUGACGGUACCUAAUCAGAAAGCCACGGCUAACUACGUG
rnacentral:rRNA from 1 species